UACAGAGGGGGCAAGCGUUAUUCGGAAUUACUGGGCGUAAAGCGCACGUAGGCGGCUUCUAAGUCGGGGUGAAAUCCUGGAGCUCAACUCCAGAACUGCCUUCGAUACUGGAGAGCUCGAGUCCGGGAGAGGUGAGUGGAACUGCGAGUGUAGAGGUGAAAUUCGUAGAUAUUCGCAAGAACACCAGUGGCGAAGGCGGCUCACUGGCCCGGUACUGACGCUGAGGUGCGAAAGCGUGGG
rnacentral:rRNA from 1 species